GUUGAACGCUGGCGGCAGGCCUAACACAUGCAAGUCGAGCGGGAACUUCGGUUCUAGCGGCGGACGGGUGAGUAAUGCGUAGGAAGCUACCCGACAGAGGGGGAUACCAGUUGGAAACGACUGUUAAUACCGCAUAAUGUCUACGGACCAAAGUGUGGGACCUUCGGGCCACAUGCUGUCGGAUGCGCCUACGUGGGAUUAGCUAGUUGGUGAGGUAAUGGCUCACCAAGGCGACGAUCCCUAGCUGGUUUGAGAGGAUGAUCAGCCACACUGGAACUGAGACACGGUCCAGACUCCUACGGGAGGCAGCAGUGGGGAAUAUUGGACAAUGGACGCAAGCCUGAUCCAGCCAUGCCGCGUGUGUGAAGAAGGCCUUCGGGUUGUAAAGCACUUUCAGUAGGGAGGAAGAGUUGAGUGUUGAUAGUACUCAGCUUUGACGUUACCUACAGAAGAAGCACCGGCUAACUCUGUGCCAGCAGCCGCGGUAACAC
rnacentral:rRNA from 1 species